rnacentral:misc_RNA from 1 species
AAGUGGGCCAGAAUCAUUCUUCCCUGUCAAAUCAAACUCCAUUUCAGCAACAAUAUAUGAAAGUUAAUGGUAUACUGUUUGUGCUAAUUUAGAAAAUAAGUUAAAUUUCUUACAACACUAAUUGCAUCAAAAGUGCACUGAGAUUAGAAACCUCCUUAAGCACAUGAAAGUAAAGUUGGUCUACCGUUAUGCAUUACAAUAUCAUAUAGAACUACAAGCAUCAAAUUUUGACCUUCUUAGUUUUUGUUUCUAUAAGAAGCUUAUCACAUCUGUAAUAGAAAAAAUACACCUUCAUGCCAUCACAGUUAAGAACACCUUACAUAGUGGGAGGCACAACUGUGUACAGAAUAUUCGUGAUCAUGUAAAAAACUUCAGCUAUAUGUUUUCUAGUAAUAUUCCAUUUGAUAUUAUGGACAAAGUUAAAAUUUUUUUUCCCACUUAAUGACCUGUGCGUGUAUUCUCCACAAAAAACACAGUAACUGUUAAGAGAGGAUGUAUCAGGUUAAGCAUGGAACUGAUUGUCACCAUUAUGUUGCUGCACUGUUCAAAAACAUAGUGAUGUGAUCAUGUAGGACAGGCAUUUUCCUAUAGAAUUCUGCUAGAUUUUCGUCUGACAUCAGCAAACAAGGUCACCUGAAUUGCACAAUGAAUGCCUUUUGUAAAAGUUGUGAUUAAAAAUGCCUAUUUAGAGUCUGUCCGUUUGGAACAACCCAACAGGCCCACAAUCCAUGUCAAGCAACAUCUCCUUAACAUGAAUAAGUUAAUGGAAUUUUUAAUUUAUAAUGACAAGAAAACAGCAUCUUGGAGACACUAUCAAAUACAUACAGACACAAAAUCAUUAUAGUUAAAAAAAUAAAUAAUAAAUAAAUA